rnacentral:rRNA from 1 species
AGUGAACGCUGGCGGUAGGCCUAACACAUGCAAGUCGAACGGCAGCACAGUAAGAGCUUGCUCUUACGGGUGGCGAGUGGCGGACGGGGGAGGAAUACAUCGGAAUCUACUUUUUCGUGGGGGAGAACGUAGGGAAACUUACGCUAAUACCGCAUACGACCUACGGGUGAAAGCAGGGGAUCUUCGGACCUUGCGCGAUUGAAUGAGCCGAUGUCGGAUUAGCUAGUUGGCGGGGUAAAGGCCCACCAAGGCGACGAUCCGUAGCUGGUCUGAGAGGAUGAUCAGCCACACUGGAACUGAGACACGGUCCAGACUCCUACGGGAGGCAGCAGUGGGGAAUAUUGGACAAUGGGCGAAAGCCUGAUCCAGCCAUACCGCGUGGGUGAAGAAGGCCUUCGGGUUGUAAAGCCCUUUUGUUGGGAAAGAAAAGCAGUAGGUUAAUACCCCGCUGUUCUGACGGUACCCAAAGAAUAAGCACCGGCUAACUUCGUG